UCAGUGGUCUGUAAUACAGGUCAUCUCAGUGGUCUGUAAUACAGGUAAUCUCAGUGGUCUGUAAUACAGGUAAUCUCAGCGGUCUGUAAUACAGGUAAUCUCAGCGGUCUGUAAUACAGGUCAUCUCAGUGGUCUGUAAUACAGGUAAUCUCAGUGGUCUGUAAUACAGGUCAUCUCAGUGGUCUGUAAUACAGGUAAUCUCAGUGGUCUGUAAUACAGGUAAUCUCAGCGGUCUGUAAUACAGGUAAUCUCAGCGGUCUGUAAUACAGGUCAUCUCAGUGGUCUGUAAUACAGGUAAUCUCAGUGGUCUGUAAUACAGGUAAUCUCAGUGGUCUGUAAUACAGGUAAUCUCAGUGGUCUGUAAUACAGGUAAUCUCAGUGGUCUGUAAUACAGGUAAUCUCAGUGGUCUGUAAUACAGGUAAUCUCAGUGGUCUGUAAUACAGGUAAUCUCAGUGGUCUGUAAUACAGGUAAUCUCAGUGGUCUGUAAUACAGGUAAUCUCAGUGGUCUGUAAUACAGGUAAUCUCAGUGGUCUGUAAUACAGGUAAU